rfam:Takifugu rubripes chromosome, Chr_10
AUGUUAUCGGGAGCAGUGCCUUCCAUAAUUA